GGCAUAGUGGUUUGAGUGGUAAAUGCCAAUUCUGGAGGCCAGGGUUCAAAUCCCAGCUCAGCCA